rnacentral:sRNA from 1 species
CAUUUUCAGUAAAGAAGUCCUGAGUAAACACGUUGUCGUUGAAUACCGCUUCUCUGCCGAACCUUAUAUUAGUGCCUCAAGCAGUAAUGUCUCAGUUUUAUCUAUGUCAAAGCCCGCGGGCUAAGAAAACACUCUAAGGAAUUUUGCAAAUGGCAAAGAUUAAAGGUCAAGUUAAGUGGUUCAACGAGUCUAAAGGUUUUGGUUUCAUUACUCCUGCUGACGGCAGCAAAGACGUGUUCGUACACUUCUCUGCAAUCCAGGGUAACGGCUUCAAAACUCUGGCUGAAGGCCAGAACGUUGAGUUCGAAAUUCAGGAUGGCCAGAAAGGCCCAGCUGCGGUUAACGUAACUGCUAU